GUAGGGAAUCUUCCACAAUGGACGAAAGUCUGAUGGAGCAACGCCGCGUGUGUGAUGAAGGGUUUCGGCUCGUAAAGCACUGUUGUAAGAGAAGAAUGACAUUGAGAGUAACUGUUCAAUGUGUGACGGUAUCUUACCAGAAAGGAACGGCUAAAUACGUGCCAGCAGCCGCGGUAAUACGUAUGUUCCAAGCGUUAUCCGGAUUUAUUGGGCGUAAAGCGAGCGCAGACGGUUAUUUAAGUCUGAAGUGAAAGCCCUCGGCUCAACCGAGGAAUUGCUUUGGAAACUGGAUAACUUGAGUGCAGUAGAGGAAAGUGGAACUCCAUGUGUAGCGGUGAAAUGCGUAGAUAUAUGGAAGAACACCAGUGGCGAAGGCGGCUUUCUGGACUGUAACUGACGUUGAGGCUCGAAAGUGUGGGUAGCAAACAGGAUUAGAAACCCUAGUAGUCC
rnacentral:rRNA from 1 species